rnacentral:rRNA from 1 species
UGGGGAAUAUUGCACAAUGGGCGAAAGCCUGAUGCAGCGACGCCGCGUGAGGGAUGAAGGCCUUCGGGUUGUAAACCUCUUUCAGCAGGGAAGAAGCGCAAGUGACGGUACCUGCAGAAGAAGCGCCGGCUAACUACGUGCCAGCAGCCGCGGUAAUACGUCGGGCGCAAGCGUUGUCCGGAUUUAUUGGGCGUAAAGAGCUCGCAGGCGGUUUGUCGCGUCUGGUGUGAACACUCGAGGCUCAACCUCGAGCUUGCAUCGGGUACGGGCAGACUAGAGUGCGGUAGGGGAGACUGGAAUUCCUGGUGUAGCGGUGGAAUGCGCAGAUAUCAGGAGGAACACCGAUGGCGAAGGCAGGUCUCUGGGCCGCAACUGACGCUGAGGAGCGAAAGCAUGGGGAGCGAACA